GGUUCUUUAUUCCAUGACGGCGGCAAGCCUGCGACCGUCGAAACGCGAGUGGGAUUUUUCUCUUGCGUCCGUUGCGCCUGUGAUACCCGACAACUGUAGCAGCAUGUCAUCUGAUCCGACUUCAACUGAAGGCUCGCCGACUGAUGCGGAAGCAGUUUACCUCGUUUCGCACGGGCCACCAAAGAAAAUUGUGAAGUUCACAGGCGCCCGGAAGCUCGCCGACCUUCACGAAAGUGUGCGGAUGGGUGGGUUCGCGCACCUGAUGACAUGCAAUGAUCUCCUAAUACAGCAUGCUGGAAGCUGCACAGAGGAGUUGGCAAGGGGGCACAAGGAAGCAAUGCCCCGUUGCUGUCCGUAGGGUGAACGCAAGGCGGCUCGUGGCGGCCGCAAUUUCUACGCUGCGCUUUUCAUCUCUGAAGCCAUGCGCAGCAGCGUGCAGUCGUCAUGUUCAGCAAAGCAGUGCAAAGGUACCCGAAUAAGCUGUACAACAUUGCUGCAAGGUGCCUUGGUGAACCAGUACCCAGCCCUGAGGAACAGAUUGGACUCUGGCUAUGUAAGAGCAUUUCCUUGUAAAUUUCCUUCAUUUUGAUUUCUUUGGCACAUUUAAAGG
rnacentral:lncRNA from 1 species